rnacentral:rRNA from 1 species
GGAUCCAGACUUUGAUCAUGGCUCAGAACGAACGCUGGCGGCAGGCCUGACACAUGCAAGUCGAGCGCGACCUUCGGGUUGAGCGGCGGACGGGUUAGUAACGCGUGGGAAUAUGCCCGGUACUAAGGAAUAGCCUCUGGAAACGGAGAGUAAUACCUUAUACGCCCUUCGGGGGAAAGAUUCAUCGGUAUCGGAUUAGCCCGCGUUAGAUUAGAUAGUUGGUGGGGUAACGGCCUACCAAGUCUACGAUCUAUAGCUGGUUUUAGAGGAUGAUCAGCAACACUGGGACUGAGACACGGCCCAGACUCCUACGGGAGGCAGCGGUGGGGAAUCUUGGACAAUGGGCGCAAGCCUGAUCCAGCCAUGCCGCGUGAGUGAUGAAGGCCUUAGGGUCGUAAAGCUCUUUCGCCAGAGAUGAUAAUGACAGUAUCUGGUAAAGAAACCCCGGCUAACUCCGUGCCAGCAGCCGCGG